rnacentral:rRNA from 1 species
UACGUAGGGUGCAAGCGUUAAUCGGAAUUACUGGGCGUAAAGCGCGCGCAGGCGGCUCUGUAAGUCAGAUGUGAAAUCCCCGGGCUUAACCUGGGAACUGCGUUUGAAACUACAAGGCUAGAGUGUGGCAGAGGGGGGUGGAAUUCCACGUGUAGCAGUGAAAUGCGUAGAGAUGUGGAGGAACACCGAUGGCGAAGGCAGCCCCCUGGGUUAACACUGACGCUCAGGCACGAAAGCGUGGGGAGCAAACAGG